UGUUGCGUUACAGUAAAAUACUAUAUCAGUUUUGUUUUUAUCUUUCAUUUGAAAGGGUUACAAAAAUGCAAUAUAAUAAAACAAUUAAUACGUUUCUUAUGUACAUCUAUUUACCUAUCAUGCAAUUCUAAUGAUGGCUCAGUAGUCUUAUCGACCAUUGCCCAUUAGAAAUCCAAGCAUAAUGCCUGGUUGUUAAGAUGAGAAGAGCCAGAUGUUGCCCACAUAUCAGUCGCCCUUUCCUUACACAAUUGGUGGAAUCAAAUAUAUCUAACCUAAUCCUUACAUAACAUGAUUUUAUUUAAGUUAUACUGAGCUGAUUAAAAUGAAGAUCGCAGUUCUCCUUCUUCUGGUGUGUCUUGCAAAUCUCUGUGUUGUAUCGGUCAGUUGUUGUAAAAGGACUGGUGAAGACUGUGUAAGUAAGAAGUGGUGCUGUGAAGAUAAUGAUUGUGUGGUUAAUAGAAGAAGAGAUAAAGGAGAUGGUGGAGAAAAAAUAUGUUGGCCUGCAAAGUAAAAAGAAAAUGAAUGAAAGAAUCUUUAAGAAAAAAUAAACAUCUGAUUCUGGCAUUGA